CCGGCGCCGCUAGCCCGGGCGCAGGCGCCGCCGUGGGCCCGCGGCGGAGGGCAGCUCGCUCCGGGACGGCGGCUCCAUGCGCUGCCAGGUCUCGGUGCUGUAUUUCGCCAGGAGCGCGGAGCUGGCGGGGCUGCGCUCUGAGACCCUCUCGGUGCCACGGGAGAUCACCUCUCUGCAGCUCUGGGAGGAGAUCGUCAAGGUCCACCCCAGGCUUGCUGUCAUCCGGGAUCAAGUAGUAUUUGCCGUUCGGCAGGAGUACGUGCUUCUUGGAGAUCAGCUGCUGGUCCUGCAGCCUGGAGACGAGGUUGCCAUCAUCCCACCAAUUAGUGGAGGCUGAACCUGCCCUGGUUCUAUUAGUGCGAUAUGGAAGAAAGCGAAGAUGUGCCAAAAGAUUUUAUCAAGCUCAAGUUUGAAAAGCUGUCUGUAGAUGAAGUGUCAGAGCUGGUUGUUUCACCAUACUGUGGGGCAGUGUCUCUGUUCAUUGUUGAUAAUUUUUGUUUAGGUACUACAAGAAAUAAUUUUGAAGGAAAAAAAGUGAUUCGCUUAGAAUAUGAAGCAUAUACUUCAAUGGC